AUUUAUUGAAAAGGACAAAUUUGCUAUCUUCAGAUCGGAAACAUUCGGAUUAUUAAAUUACUGUAUAAUUUUUUUAUGUUUAUGCGGGUAUAGUCAUCUUGGACUUGCCAAAAACCCGCUGCUGUUCGUUUCGUGGAUCCCGAUUCAAACUAGCUAGCAAUGAACACGGACGUCGAAUUUCACAUUAGGCAGAAUUAUCCGUGGAACAAGCUACCAGCAAAUGUCAAACAGAGUGUUGGGAACUCGCAGCGUGAAUAUGAGAAACAUGUGCAGUUGUACAGUAUCCGCAACCAGCUAAGGUUCCGCAAUAACCUAGUGAGACACGUGAGGAAGGAUGAGAGGAAGUACUACGAGGAGCUGCUGAAGUACAGCCGAGAUCACCUGAUGCUCUACCCCUACCACCUGUCAGACAUCAUGGUCAAAGGCCUCCGCAUCACCCCCUUCUCCUACUACAUCAGCAUCAUGGAGGACAUCAUGAAUGUAGAGAAGAGUUACGACUCGCUGCCCAACUUCACUGCUGCUGACUGUCUAAGACUGCUGGGCAUCGGGAGGAACCAGUAUAUAGACUUGAUGAACCAGUGCAGGUCCUCCAAGAAAUUCUUCCGUAGGAAAACAGCGCGAGACCUGCUGCCCUCCAAGCCAGUAGAGAUCUCUGUAGAGCCGUGGUGGGUGGCUCAGACCGGAUACAUCACAGAGGAUGACAUCAGGGUGAGUCUCUGUAGAGCCGUGGUGGGUGGCUCAGACCGGAUACAUCACAGAGGAUGACAUCAGGGUGAGUCUCUGUAGAGCCGUGGUGGGUGGCUCAGACCGGAUACAUCACAGAGGAUGACGUCAGGGUGAGUCUCUGUAGAGCCGUGGUGGGUGGCUCAGACCGGAUACAUCACAGAGGAUGACAUCAGGGUGAGUCUCUGUAGAGCCGUGGUGGGUGGCUCAGACCGGAUACAUCACAGAGGAUGACAUCAGGGUGAGUCUCUGUAGAGCCGUGGUGGGUGGCUCAGACCGGAUACAUCACAGAGGAUGACAUCAGGGUGAGUCUCUGUAGAGCCGUGGUGGGUGGCUCAGACCGGAUACAUCACAGAGGAUGACAUCAGGGUGAGUCUCUGUAGAGCCGUGGUGGGUGGCUCAGACCGGAUACAUCACAGAGGAUGACAUCAGGGUGAGUCUCUGUAGAGCCGUGGUGGGUGGCUCAGACCGGAUACAUCACAGAGGAUGACAUCAGGGUGAGUCUCUGUAGAGCCGUGGUGGGUGGCUCAGACCGGAUACAUCACAGAGGAUGACAUCAGGAUCUGCUCGGUGGCAGAGAGGAAGGCAAUUGAUAAGAUGAUCGAUUCAGGACCCCAGCUGGCCGGAUCAAUGGAGUACAAUGUGGUGCUGAGUGAGUGUUAUCUAUUCUCUGCUUCGUGUGUGUUCAUCCCACCAGGCUGCUAAAUGACAGUGUUGUGGGUGGAUGGUAAUCGUUAGCCAUCAGGGUGUCUUUGGUGUUAUUGGAAAACAAUUUAGUUUGAUUACAUGCCUCUCCUGUCAUUAUGGUCCAUUGUGGCUAUGACGAGAGAAUAACAGAUAGGAUUGGAGACAGGGGGAGA